rnacentral:rRNA from 1 species
UGGGGAAUAUUGCACAAUGGGCGCAAGCCUGAUGCAGCCAUGCCGCGUGUGUGAAGAAGGCCUUCGGGUUGUAAAGCACUUUCAGCGGGGAGGAAGGCGAUAAGGUUAAUAACCUUGUCGAUUGACGUUACCCGCAGAAGAAGCACCGGCUAACUCCGUGCCAGCAGCCGCGGUAAUACGGAGGGUGCAAGCGUUAAUCGGAAUUACUGGGCGUAAAGCGCACGCAGGCGGUCUGUCAAGUCGGAUGUGAAAUCCCCGGGCUCAACCUGGGAACUGCAUUCGAAACUGGCAGGCUAGAGUCUUGUAGAGGGGGGUAGAAUUCCAGGUGUAGCGGGGAAAUGCGUAGAGAUCUGGAGGAAUACCGGUGGCGAAGGCGGCCCCCUGGACAAAGACUGACGCUCAGGUGCGAAAGCGUGGGGAGCAAACAGG